GGUAGAAGGGGUGCCUGCGGUCUUGGCCUUAUGGCUGGGACCGCAGGUCGCAGUGACUAGGGGGGGGCGACUGUUUACUAAAAACACAGGGGGCUGCAACCCGGUAACGGUUAGUACAGCCCCUGAGUCCUGCCCAGUGCGGGUACCUGAAAGCCGGGUUCAACCGGCCGAAGGGCCCGUAAACGGCGGGGGUAACUAUGACCCUCUUAAGGUAGCGUAAUACCUUGCCGCUUAAUUGGCGGCUUGCAUGAACGGAUUAACGACCCCCCCACUGUCCCCGGCCGGAAGCCGGCGAACCCGACAUCCCAGUGAAGAGUCUGGGGACCCCCGAUGGGAAGCGAAGACCCUGUGGAGCUUUACUGCAGCCUGCCGUUGCCUCACAGCUGGGGGUGCGCAGCGUAGGCGGGAGGCUUCGAAGCCCGGUCUCCGGGCCGGGUGGAGCCGUCCAUGAGACACCGCCCACCUCCAGCUGUGGGGCUAACCGCUUCGUGCGGGACAUCGGUAGGUGGGCAGUUUGGGUGGGGCGCCACGCGCUCGAAAAAAUAACAAGCGUGCCCAAAGGUCAGCUUAGGUGGUUCAGUCUCCACCGUGAAAUGUAAGGGUAAAAGCUGGCUUGACGUGGAUCGGAUCAAUAACGAUCGACGAUGCGAAAGCAGGGCCUAACGAACCAAUGUGCCUCAUUUCUGGGGGCCAUUGAUAACAGAAAAGUUACCUCGGGGAUAAUUGAGUUGUCACCAGCAAGAGCACAUAUCGACCUGGUGGCUUGCUACUUCGAUGUCGUCUCUUCCCAACCUCCUGGUGCAGCAGCUGGGAAGGGUGGGGUUGUUCGCCCAUUAAAGGGGAUCGUGAGCUGGGUUUAGACCGUCGUGAGACAGGUUUGUUGCUUUGCGGUUGAGGCGUGUAAGAUGCCUGAUCGGAAGGGUCCUUUAGUACGAGAGGAACGAGGGCUCGGAGCCACUAGUUUACCAGUUGUCCGGCAGGGCAAUGCCGGGCAGCCACGCCGUACGGGGAUAAGGGCUGAAAGCAUCUAAGCCCGAAGCCCUCCCUGAAAAGAGCCGACUAAGGAUCCCGUAAAAGACGGGUUUGAUAGGCUCGGGGUGUAAGCGUCGAGCCCUUUUAGGGCGAGACGUUCAGCCUACGAGUACUAAUCUCCGAAGAGCAACAGU
rnacentral:rRNA from 1 species